rnacentral:tRNA from 1 species
GCCGCUUUAGCUCAGUUGGUAGAGCAGCUGUCUUGUAAACAGCAGGUCGUCGGUUCGAGUCCGACAAGCGGCUCC